UUUCUUCACGCCUCCCUCUCUCUUCCAGUCGCUCUCUUGUCCGACGAACUCCCCCUCUCUCUCUCCACCCUCCCUCUUUCCGACCGGCGAACCACCGCGAGCAACCGACGAACCAGGAGGAUACCGGCGAGACGACCGCGAGCAACCGACCGGCGUGCGACCUCCCUCUCUUUCUCUCUGCCCUCCGGCGUGCGACCUCCCUCUUUCCGACCGACCGGCGUGCGACCUCUCUCUCUGCCCUCCCUCUUUCCCACCGGCGAACCACCGCGCCACCCCUCGGGCUCCAGAUCUGGCCCCGACUCAUCCGUCCCUGCUCUCUCUCCCCUUGCGUCUCUGUCUGCC
rnacentral:lncRNA from 1 species